CCCACCCCCUCCCUGCCCAUAAACUUCUCACAUGAGUUCUGUUGCAUGGUACGACUUUGUGGCGCCCCUUGGCUUCAACCCACCCGGGUGUCUUAUGCUGAUCGACAACAACGUCUCUGUGUACCAGACAGCCUGCGAUGGGCUCAUUUCCAAACCGAUCGCUGGGCACUUCACCCAACACCGGCAAGGACUGAGAUGAGGGAAGGAUCACAGAAGGAGGAUUGGGGGAAACUGGCAGUGUUGGAGCCAUGGUCUGUACCAUCUACAUCAGGCUGAAAAGGAAAUGUAGAGAGUGAAGAUACAGGAAAAUAAGGACCAAAGAAUGAGACUUGAGGCAAACUCUUAGCUACUGCUCCAGCACCAUGCCUGCCUGCUGCCAAGCUCCCUGCCAUAAUGGUCAUGGACCAACCCUCUGAAGCUGAGAUGAGAGGCUGUGGAUUCAUUCCAGGCUGAUAUGGAUCAGGUUUGAUUGGGGAAGACCCUCUGAAAUCCUGACUACAAACACAGAAAUAAACGUAGAAGAGCUACAAGACACGUGAUGUAUAUUUUACCUGCUGAAACAUAAAACAAAAAAUUGUCUUUGGCUGACUUGUGUACAAUGCACAGUCUAU